CUUUGGGAUUGUGUGUCCAGCACUGAGGGCUAUGCUGUUUGUUAUCUGCUUAUAAUCAAUUUAAUUCUAGGACCUAUCAGGCAGGGCUGAUGGUUUUGGUUUUUACUUCCACAGUCACUUGCAUAUUCAGGCCUGACCUAUAAGUGGUGUUUCUGCAAUGGAAAUAAUCAGCAGAGUAGUACAGAACAGUGCCAUUUGAUGGAUGGCACUUUUAGCCAUAAAAGCCAGCACCUGUGGGAAUAACAGUGGAUUUUAGGAGGGAUUCACAUAGAGAGGAUGACCCAGCACUGGGGUAAGCUCGAGUUUUCCUGUUGCAGAGAGGGCAGGAGAAGCUAUGUUGGAGGGUGAGUCCUGUCACUGGGCUGGGAGGUCGCAGUGGUGUGCUCCAGGGUGCAGGUUCAUUGUGGAAUUCCAGCCUCCUCACAAAUGCUGACUCUCUGCCUGAAUGUAUUUGUACCUAAAGGCCCUUUUGCCUAAAUUAGAAAUUAAGUUUAGUAACAUUUUGUGAGGGUGCUUCUUGCGCUUGUGAUGAAACCAAAGAGCAUAUUGAGGAGAGAUUUAUGUCUUUCCACAGAGAGUUGCUGUAAGGGCAGUUGUGGUUUCUUUCUGGUUUUGGUUUUAUUUUAAUGGAACAGUGAUUUUAUUUUAAUGUUUCAAUUUUGGGCUCCCAGUUUGGGUUUGAAAGCUGAAGCUGCUGUUUCCCUCAGUAGUACACACUUAGAGGUGGAAUUUCUGCUUUAGUUUUCAAUCUCUUGUGCUUUUGUCAUUUUUUUAUCACAACCUUAUGUAUUCUUUAAACACUUUUUUAUUUAAUCAUUUAUUCUUUUAAGUGGGCUUAAUUGUAUAAAGAUUAUCAUGCAUAAAGAGACAUCUAUAAUUAGAAGGGGGGAUUGGUGCUAUUAGACAGUGUUUUAGUAAGGAAAAUUACAGUGUUCAUAAACUGUUUGGAGAAUGGAGGCAGCAUAUAUUAACAUGCAACAGGUUUUAUGUAAUCCUAACAGAGGAUUGACUCUUGCUCACUUGGAUGAGUUUGGGCUGCUCCAGUAUUUUUUCUCCAAGCUUAGUGCUCCCCUCUCUUCCUUCUUUUCCUCCUGGUGGGCAAGUGGAAACAAUCCUGUCUCUGCUUUUCCUUGAAAGCAGGAAUUACUUGUAAUAAUUGACAGUUUUAUAUCUGUUGGGCUGUGAAGAGCUGUGCCUUUGGCUGCUCUGCUGCCCGUGGCUGGUGGGGAACCUGUCACCCUUCAGAUGGACAUGCUCUUGGGACAAUCCAGGUGAUUUCCAGCUCUCCUGAAAAGAACAUGUCACCACUGCUGUUCUUUUCCCUUGUGGCUCCUGUUGGUGUGCACGUUCAAGAGUACGAGUAAGCAAAGCUAUUGUGAUGCUCCAUUCCAGGGGGGGGAUUUAUUGUUACCCUGCACAUCAUUUGUGAGCUGCAGCAAGCAGAAGUUGGUGUGUGCCAUGGCUUGGCAGCCUGCCUGCAAUCAGUGGAUUGUCAGGAGUUCUUCUCCCUCCCUUCCCCCAUUGAAAUGACAUGGCUGCGGGGGACCAUUGAUUUCUGCUCUCCACGUUGAAUAAAUGGAGGCAAGAAUAAGUAUGUGAGGCAGCUGGUGAGGAGCUUUCUGGUCAUUUCAAGGUUGGGAAGCAUUCUUUGGGGAGUGAUGCAUCAUUGUUACACGGCCUCAAAGCAAAAAAGGCAGCUGCAUCCAGGCCCUGUGACAAAGGGUACCAAGCAGCAUCUUGAAUGUACCAGCCUAGAGGUAUCUGAAAAGCUCCCCAAAUAAAUUGCCUUUGUUAGACAUG